UACGAAGGGGGCUAGCGUUGCUCGGAAUGACUGGGCGUAAAGGGCGCGUAGGCGGAUGGCACAGUCAGAUGUGAAAUUCCCGGGCUUAACCUGGGGGCUGCAUUUGAUACGUGUUGUCUUGAGUUCGGAAGAGGGUCGUGGAAUUCCCAGUGUAGAGGUGAAAUUCGUAGAUAUCGGGAGGAACACCUGUGGCGAAAGCGGCGCACUGGACCACAACUGACGCUGAGGCGCGAAAGCUAGGGGAGCAAACAGG
rnacentral:rRNA from 1 species